UAAUACGGAGGGUGCAAGCGUUAUCCGGAUUCACUGGGUUUAAAGGGUGUGUAGGCGGGCUGUUAAGUCAGUGGUGAAAUCUCCGGGCUCAACCCGGAAACUGCCAUUGAUACUAUCAGUCUUGAAUAUCGAUGAGGUGGGCAGAAUAUGUCAUGUAGCGGUGAAAUGCAUAGAUAUGACAUAGAAUACCGAUUGCGAAGGCAGCUCACUAACCGAUCAUUGACGCUGAGGCACGAAAGCGUGGGGAUCAAACAGGAUUAGAUACCCUGGUAGUCCACGCCCUAAACGAUGAUUACUCGACAUACGCGAUACACUGUGUGUGUCUGAGCGAAAGCAUUAAGUAAUCCACCUGGGAAGUACGUCCGCAAGGAUG
rnacentral:rRNA from 1 species